rnacentral:rRNA from 1 species
GCCAGCGGUUAGGCCGGGAACUCAAAGGAGACUGCCAGUGAUAAACUGGAGGAAGGUGGGGAUGACGUCAAGUCAUCAUGGCCCUUACGACCAGGGCUACACACGUGCUACAAUGGCGCAUACAAAGAGAAGCGAUCUCGCGAGAGCCAGCGGACCUCAUAAAGUGCGUCGUAGUCCGGAUUGGAGUCUGCAACUCGACUCCAUGAAGUCGGAAUCGCUAGUAAUCGUGAAUCAGAAUGUCACGGUGAAUACGUUCCCGGGCCUUGUACACACCGCCCGUCACACCAUGGGAGUGGGUUGCAAAAGAAGU